UGAAUAGGAAUGUUUAGAUUAAUUCUCAGUUUGGAAACGUAAUUUAAAGGUUUUUAAGCUAUUUUCUGUCUCCCGCCUCUUCUACAGUAGAUAUGAGGACAACAGCAGCAUCCUGAGCUGACAAAGAAACACUUCAUGGAAGGAACAAGAGGCUGGUGAGUGUGUUUCCAAUAUAUAUAAAUUGAUGCAAAAAAAGUUUGAAGUUAUGAGUUUGUAUGUCUCUGAAGAACUUGUCCAAUAUCAGGAUUGGAUAUACGUUGACGAUAAACAACGUUUCUUUAUCUCUAGGGAAGUUGUACACAUACCACACAAUAUCAGGAUUGGAUAUUCGUUGAUGCUGCAGACAGUUUCAAGUUGUGACAUCGUUUAUUUCUAGAAAAGUUGUACAACGUAGCUUCAUAGGUACCAACAAUAUAUAUAUAUAACCCUGUUUCCUUGUCCAUUCUGAGGAAACAUCCAUGUCUCUUGUGGACAGGCCCUCUGAUCAGCAGUACUUCCUUAAGAUGCACCUCCCCAGGAUCAAGAAGAGAACCCAAUCACCCCACAGAGAGACCGUUUCCCCUGUCCUCUCAUACUACUCAGAGCCAGCCUACCUGCAGCACCGUAAGGUAAAGUACAGGAAGCAGCAGCUAGUAAGUCAUCUUCAUACAGAUACUAUCCUCUCUUCUAACACUCUGGAAUAGGGUUUAGGGAAAGCACAGACUUUUUGAAAUGAUCAAUACACAGUGGUUGAUUGUUAGAUCUCAAAUUGACCCCCAGUCUUCGACCCUCUACGUCCUUCCUGUAGAUCUGGAAAGAUCAGACAGAGCAUCAUAUGAACACAAACACCCCCACUGUGUGUUUUCAUUUUGUUCAGGAUGUGACUAGAGAUCUGGCCACGCUGCCUGGCGGAACGAGAAGAGGAGCGCUGGAGGAGGAAGACCAGGAAGAGACGCUGAGCCUACGGAGCAUGCCCAGUAUGAGAAGCACCCUGAGUCACGCCUCAAAGGUGAAAAGGUCACGGGGGUUCCCGAAGAGACACACCAUCCCCGAGCUCAGACUGCCCCCUGUUACUAAGAUUCAUCCUGACCCCAGAGCCAGUCUGGAAUUGAGGGGAACUGGCUACCUGAGAUGUUCCAGACUUCCACCCAUCAUCAAAUCUACCAGAACCCAUGAGCCUCUGCACCAGGAGAGACCCCCAGGUCCAGCUGGGUACAGGUUCGAUACCUUUCUCCAUGUAGGUUCUAACUAAUUACUCACGACCCAAUGUGAGGAAGAGGAGCUACUCACACAGUAAAUCUACAGGGGAGUCAGGACACACCCCUGGGGGACCCCGCCUCAGUACUGCUCAGUCUCACGCUUCUCCCUCCCCAGGUAUAGUCUACAUACAGCAAUCAUCCCUCCCCAGGUAUAGUCUACAUACAGCAAUCAUCCCUCCCCAGGUAUAGUCUACAUACAGCAAUCAUCCCUCCCCAGGUGUAGUCUACAUUCAGCAAUCAUCCCUCCCCAGGUAUAGUCAACAUACAGCAAUCAUCCCUCCCCAGGUAUAGUCUACAUACAGCAAUCAUCCCUCCCCAGGUAUAGUCUACAUACAGCAAUCAUCCCUCCCCAGGUAUAGUCUACAUACAGCAAUCAUCCCUCCCCAGGUAUAGUCUACGUACAGCAAUCAUCCCUCCCCAGGUAUAGUCUACAUGCAUACAGCAAUCAUCCCUCCCCAGGUAUAGUCUACAUGCAUACAGCAAUCAUCCCUCCCCAGCUAUAGUCUACAUACAUACAGCAAUCAUCCCUCCCCAGGUACAGUCUAUAUACAUACAGCAAUCAUCCCUCCCCAGGUAUAGUCUACAUACAUACAUACAGCAAUCAUCCCUCACCAGGUAUAGUCUACAUACAUACAUACAGCAAUCAUCCCUCCCCAGGUAUAGUCUAUAUACAUACAGCAAUCAUCCCUCCCCAGGUAUAGUCUAUAUACAUACAGCAAUCAUCCCUCACCAGGUAUAGUCUAUAUACAUACAGCAAUCAUCCCUUCCCAGGUGUAGUCUACAUACAUACAGCAAUCAUCCCUCCCCAGGUAUAGUCUACAUACAUACAGCAAUCAUCCCUCCCCAGGUAUAGUCUACAUACAUACAGCAAUCAUCCCUUCCCAGGUAUAGUCUAUAUACAGCAAUCAUCCCUCCCCAGGUAUAGUCUAUAUACAGCAAUCAUCCCUCCCCAGGUAUAGUCUAUAUACAUACAGCAAUCAUCCCUCCCCAGGUAUAGUCUAUAUACAUACAGCAAUCAUCCCUCCCCAGGUAUAGUCUAUAUACAGCAAUCAUCCCUCCCCAGGCAUAGUCUACAUACAUACAGCAAUCAUCCCUCCCCAGGUAUAGUCUACAUACAUACAGCAAUCAUCCCUCCCCAGGUGUAGUCUACAUACAUACAGCAAUCAUCCCUCCCCAGGUAUAGUCUAUAUACAUACAGCAAUCAUCCCUCCCCAGGUAUAGUCUAUAUACAUACAGCAAU
ensembl:lncRNA